rnacentral:tRNA from 11 species
CAGUUGUGGCGUAGUUGGUUAGAGCACUGACCUUCCAACCAGGAGG